AAUCAACGCUGGCGGCGUGCCUCAGACAUGCAAGUCGAACGAUUAAGACUCCCUUCGGGGAGUGCAUAAAGUGGCGCACGGGUGAGUAACACGUAAGUAAUCUACCUUUGAGUGGGAAAUAACAACCGGAAACGGUUGCUAAUACCGCAUGAUGCAGCGGCACCGCAAGGUGACAGUUGUUAAAGGAGCAAUCCGCUUGAAGAGGAGCUUGCGGCAGAUUAGCUAGUUGGUAAGGUAAUGGCUUACCAAGGCUACGAUCUGUAUCCGGUCUAAGAGGACGGUCGGACACACUGACACUGAAUAACGGGUCAGACUCCUACGGGAGGCAGCAGUCGGGAAUUUUGGGCAAUGGGCGAAAGCCUGACCCAGCAACGCCGCGUGAAGGAUGAAGUAUUUCGGUAUGUAAACUUCGAAAGAAUGGGAAGAAUAAAUGACGGUACCAUUUAUAAGGUCCGGCUAACUACGUGCCAGCCGCCGCAGUAAUAC
rnacentral:rRNA from 1 species